CAAUAAUCGAAACCAAAAAAAGAAGGUAAAAAUUGCUAACGUACUUCAAGUAUCUGGCAUCAAGUUAUUCAAAUCCUCCGAGUUAGCAAAAAACAGUCGGGCAUUAUUCGUUUGGAGCACCAGCACACAAGAGUAACAACAGCAAACAAAGCUGUUGAGCAUUAGUCUUUUGGAGCACAUAUAGUUCUGACAUACUUUCAUUACUAGGUGAUAACACUAAACUUGUGCCACAACUUGGUGGCAGUAAAAGGGCAUACAUAAAGAGGAGGUAAAAAUGAAGGGGGAGAAAAGAUAAACUGAAUGAAAAGAAAAAAAAAUACCAAAAGACACUUUUAGCUCGCAAUGAAACAAGCGGCGGCAGUGAAAAGGCAUACAUAAAGAGGAGGUAAAAUUGGAGGGGGAGAAAAGGUAAACUGAAUGAAAAAAAAUAAUAGUAAAAGACACUUUUAGCUCGCAAUGAAACAAGCCCAAAAUUAUGACUCUUACUUGCAGUUCACUAAAUACGCAUCCCACCCUUGAAGCCGGUAUUCAC
rnacentral:lncRNA from 1 species